rnacentral:rRNA from 1 species
GAUGAACGCUGGCGGCGUGCCUAAUACAUGCAAGUCGAGCGAACAGACGAGGAGCUUGCUCCUCUGACGUUAGCGGCGGACGGGUGAGUAACACGUGGAUAACCUACCUAUAAGACUGGGAUAACUUCGGGAAACCGGAGCUAAUACCGGAUAAUAUAUUGAACCGCAUGGUUCAAUAGUGAAAGACGGUUUUGCUGUCACUUAUAGAUGGUUCCGCGCCGCAUUAGCUAGUUGGUAAGGUAACGGCUUACCAAGGCAACGAUGCGUAGCCGACCUGAGAGGGUGAUCGGCCACACUGGAACUGAGACACGGUCCAGACUCCUACGGGAGGCAGCAGUAGGGAAUCUUCCACAAUGGGCGAAAGCCGGACGGAGCAACGCCGCGUGAGUGAUGAAGGUCUUCGGAUCGUAAAACUCUGUUAUUAGGGAAGAACAAAUGUGUAAGUAACUAUGCACGUCUUGACGGUACCUAAUCAGAAAGCCACGGCUAACUACGUG